GUCCACGCCCUAAACGAUGCGAACUGGACGUUGGGAGCAAUCAGGCUCUCAGUGUCGAAGCUAACGCGUUAAGUUCGCCGCCUGGGGAGUACUGUCGCAAGACUGAAACUCAAAGGAAUUGACGGGGGCCCCGCACAAGCGGUGGAGUAUGUGGUUUAAUUCGAUGCAACGCGCAGAACCUUACCUGGCCUUGACAUCCACGGAAUCCUUUAGAGAUAGAGGAGUGCCUUCGGGAACCGUGAGACAGGUGCUGCAUGGCUGUCGU
rnacentral:rRNA from 1 species